UACAGAGGUCUCAAGCGUUGUUCGGAUUCAUUGGGCGUAAAGGGUGCGUAGGUGGCGCCGUAAGUCGGGUGUGAAAUUUCGGAGCUUAACUGCGAAACUGCAUUCGAUACUGCGGUGCUUGAGGACUGGAGAGGAGACUGGAAUUCAUGGUGUAGCAGUGAAAUGCGUAGAGAUCGGCAGGAACACCCAGGGGGAAACCAGUCGACUGGGCAGCACCUGACGCUGAGGUGCGAGAGCGUGGGGAGCGAACCGG
rnacentral:rRNA from 1 species